AUGCAGUCGAGCGAACAGACAAGGAGCUUGCUCCUUUGACGUUAGCGGCGGACGGGUGAGUAACACGUGGGUAACCUACCUAUAAGACUGGGAUAACUUCGGGAAACCGGAGCUAAUACCGGAUAAUAUUUCGAACCGCAUGGUUCGAUAGUGAAAGAUGGUUUUGCUAUCACUUAUAGAUGGACCCGCGCCGUAUUAGCUAGUUGGUAAGGUAACGGCUUACCAAGGCGACGAUACGUAGCCGACCUGAGAGGGUGAUCGGCCACACUGGAACUGAGACACGGUCCAGACUCCUACGGGAGGCAGCAGUAGGGAAUCUUCCGCAAUGGGCGAAAGCCUGACGGAGCAACGCCGCGUGAGUGAUGAAGGUCUUCGGAUCGUAAAACUCUGUUAUUAGGGAAGAACAUACGUGUAAGUAACUAUGCACGUCUUGACGGUACCUAAUCAGAAAGCCACGGCUAACUACGUGCCAGCAGCCGCGGUAAUACGUAGGUGGCAAGCGUUAUCCGGAAUUAUUGGGCGUAAAGCGCGCGUAGGCGGUUUUUUAAGUCUGAUGUGAAAGCCCACGGCUCAACCGUGGAGGGUCAUUGGAAACUGGAAAACUUGAGUGCAGAAGAGGAAAGUGGAAUUCCAUGUGUAGCGGUGAAAUGCGCAGAGAUAUGGAGGAACACCAGUGGCGAAGGCGACUUUCUGGUCUGUAACUGACGCUGAUGUGCGAAAGCGUGGGGAUCAAACAGGAUUAGAUACCCUGGUAGUCCACGCCGUAAACGAUGAGUGCUAAGUGUUAGGGGGUUUCCGCCCCUUAGUGCUGCAGCUAACGCAUUAAGCACUCCGCCUGGGGAGUACGACCGCAAGGUUGAAACUCAAAGGAAUUGACGGGGGACCCGCACAAGCGGUGGAGCAUGUGGUUUAAUUCGAAGCAACGCGAAAAAACCUUACCAAAUCUUGACAUCCUUUUGACAACUCUAGAAGAUAGAACCUUUCCCCUUUCGGGGGAACAAAGUGACAGGUGGGUG
rnacentral:rRNA from 1 species